UCGGGAUAGGAGAGAUAUAUCUUUUAGUUUAAUUGAUAAUGUAUUUAAUAUUGUACUAUUAUUAUACUCUUAUUAAUAUUGUAAUAUUACUAAUCUGGUUUCUUUUAAUUAAAUAUUAGUUACGUUUAAAAGUUCUAAAAUAACGGCAUGAUUUUGAAUGAGCUAGAAAAUAUAUAAAUCACUCAAAAAGCACUAACAAUUAACAUAUAUGUAACAUAUAUGUAAUGAUCCGCUGUGACCAUUUAUUCGCCUAUCUCUACUUCAUUUGUACUAUAUUGGCUACAUUCAGCAGAAAAAGUGUUAUAAAAUUCCAACACGAUUAGUUAAUUCUUUGGCUAAAGAAGCCUAUUAAUAAGAGCUCUUAUUUCUAUUAUUAAGAGCUUUUAUUACCUAGACAAUGAAAGACACAAUAUUGUUAAAAGUUGCAGAGCAAAGCUUAUCGGAGUGCAUAUAAUAGAUCAUAAUGGAUGCUUUAGUUUCGAUGGAAUAUGAUAUAUGCAAAUAGAAAUAAAAUUAUUGUAAUAUUGUAUUGUUCCUUGAUUCUUUUUUUAUUGUUCCUUGAUUUUUAAAUUUAAAUUACAAUAAUUUUAAAAAACAUCUGAUGUAAGAAAUCAUCAACGUUUAAAUUACUAAUAUGAAUUCAAAGAGUAUAAUAAAACAUAUCAAAAUCGUCUAAAUUGCGUUUUAAAUCUCUUAUAAUGGUAAUCGUCCAUCGCCUAGCUUUUCUCCGUUAUCUUUUCGUUUUCUUGAAAUGUCUUCUUUGGCAGUAAAUUUGAUCUUGUUGCAGGAUUCCUGCUGCGACUUUUGGAAAUCUGAGUUUUCUGUUGAAACUAAAAUUACAAUAAAUUUCACUUACAAUUAUAUAUCUAACAUGAAGAAGUUAAAUGUAUAAAAACAAAGAAUGCGUAGUUAGUAAAUGUUAAUGUAAUUAAUGCAUUUUUGAUAAUUUAGGAAUACUAUAUGUAUCAUGUAUUUCAUGUUUUAACAGUAUUCUAUAACCUAAAAAUUUAUUGUAAUUAUUAAUUACAGAGUAGUUCAAUGAGAAAUGAUAUUUCCAAGUUAAAAGAAAACCGAUAAAAUAUCGAGAGUUUAUCUACUUAUGCUGAGAUUAUCGUGAUACAAAGAUGCCGACUAUUGCAAUAAAACGUGACUUACUGUUCAAAGCAUUGGAUAAAACAUAUUGUAAGUUACAUUUUUUAGUGAUAAAGUUCUAAAUUGUAAUAUCAAUAAGGUUGAUUUAGGGAAUAAACUUUAUUUAACGGAAGAAAUCAGUUGCAAUAAAGCGAUUAAUUACAUUAGCAUUGAGUACGUGAUCGCACCUUUUUCAUCAUGCAUGUAGAAUAAUGAUUACGAGAUGACAGUUGCUGCUACCAACUAACAAGGCACCGAGAAAUCUCAAUCGCAGCAGUUGCGGUUGCAAAGUGACAACAUUUAAAAGGUGAAACAAACUCUGCAAUUGUAUUCAGCCUUUCCGUAAUUGACGUACAUUACAAUAUACAUUUAAUCUUGCUACUUAUUUUAAUGAUACAGCAAAAAGAAUGUGUAUAUAAAGUUAAGGAAUUUUAAGUUUGCAUUAAGUUCGAUAAAACGAAAUGCCUCUUGCAACCAGGAAGAGGCUAAAGAGGAAAUUUAAAUAACAGACGAAUAAUCAAUCAUGAUUGUAAGAUGAAAGAUUGAAAAGGCAGAGACGUCCUCGAUUAAUCGCUGAUCAUUUUUAAUUAUCCAUAAUAUCUAUGGCCAUGCCUAUAAUACCGAUGCAUAUUACACGUCAAAUAUUUUGGUAAAAAAACUUGCUCAAGUAUCUAUAUCCCUUUGCUUCACAGUGAUAGCUAAAGAAAAAAAAACGAAUGCUGACCAUAUAGCCUGAUAUAUGGUCAGCAUUCGUUUUUUUUUCUUUUUUAAGCAAAUUAAAGUUUGCAUAGAGGUUCAGAAGAAAUCUUCCUUCCCACGGGUACGACCUUGUCGUGGUGGGAGGGCUCAGUACCCCGAGGGCUUGAAUGCCUGUGGGGGAAGCUAACUGUACCCAUUGCACUUAUUAAGUUUGUUUUUUAUUCCUGCACUGCUACACUAGUGCAAUAAGUAAGAAUGAGAAAAAAGAUAUUUGUCUUAUUCUAACUUAUUGCACCAGUGCAGCAGUGCAGGAAUAAAAAACAAACCUAUUACGUCGUUGAUCGUAAAAUUGUGGUUCGUCGCGCCGUGUUAACGCGGUUCGGGAGUGCCGACCGAUUAAAUUGAAAACGAACCGUAGCCGGCUCGUCAUGUCGCGCGUUUGCUUCGGGAGUGUCGUUCAAGUAAAUGGACUAAAAGGGCUGUCUAAUUAGUUCUACGCGCGAUCGUAGUAUAUUCAGUUAUUCGCGAGUGUCCUGUGCAACAAGAGGAGGAGGAGGCCUGAGAAAGGCAUUGGGCCCCGGCAGAGCAACUUUGGGAAUCAUCGUAGCGACGUUGCUGAAUAUCUCUGCCGCUGCGCAUCGGUCGGUGAGUGAUGAAUAAACUUUUAAAUUUGGGGUAAUAGAUCUGUGACAAAAUUUUACUUCAAAUAUAAUGUAGAAAUGUUUGCUAUAAUGCUGCAAUAAUAAAUAACAUUUAGAUAUCAUAUUUAUUUCAUGGAUCUAUUGCUUUAAAGUGGAUUGACUAAAACAGAUCAGGAUUUAACAUUUAAUCCUGAAUGAAUGAUAUACAUUAACUUAUCAUGCAUAUUUAAUUUAUUAAAUAAUUUUUUUUCGACGCCAUUGCAGUCUCGGCGAGGGUUAGGUAUGUGUUCAACAUCAUCAAAUAUAAAUUACAAGUAUAAUAAAAAAUAUAUAAUGUAUCUUGCACGUAUGCGCACAAUUAGAAACUGCGCGCCGUUUCGUCUUUGAUAAAUUCCGUCAAAUAACUAAAAUAGAAUAAAAUAAAUGCCGAUCAACUAAAUUUAACUAUAAACUUGAAAUGUUUUAAACUCCCUUUUAAAAUUGUAUUUCUUUCUGGGGUAAUAACAGCCGCUAUAAUUAAUCAUACAAAUAGGUAGAAAUAUUAAUAUAUAGAAAUAUGUAAAAAAUAAAUAGGUAUUAAAAAAUAGAUAGAAAACGGAUAAGCAGAAUACUCUAUGUAAAUAGAUAUACGAAAAAAUUAUGUAAAUGCUUUUUUUAAUUUUAUAGAAACAAUCUGUGUAAUUAAAAAUUAUAUAAUUGUUGUUGUUAUGAUGUUAUGUAAUUAAAAAUUAUAUACUAAUGCCCGAUAUAUUACAGGAAAUCAGAACAUGAUAUACGAUAAUACAUCACAAUUUAUUAAAUUAGCAUGUUAAAUUUAUAUACUUUUCACUUUAUAUUUUCUAAAUAUUUUAAUGUUUGUUCUUAAUUUUCUUCUAAUUUUGUUUCUAAAUUUUUAUUCUUUGUUUAUAUCUUUAUUCUUCAAUACCAGAAUAUUUAAUACAAAUGGUGAAUUUUAAUAUUGUUGUAUUUAUUUCGUCGCUUUUAUGUAAUGUGGUGAAAAUAUAUUGUAAAAUGUAUUGUAAAAUAUUUUAUAAUUUGUAAUUUAUUAAUUUUAUUUUUAAUAUUUAAUAUGAGAUAAAUUCUAACUUAUAUAAAUUGUAAUAAAUAUAUUGUAAAAUUAUACUGUAUUCUUUAUGCAUUUGCUGUAAAUUUAUUUUACUAUGUUGUAUUAUUGAAUUAUGUAACAAAAAAUAACAAUAAAAUAAAGAAAACACAUUUAAAGAAAGAGGACCGUCGACUAAGAAUAGACGGGGGUGGUGGUGGAGGUAAAAACGGAUCAACUCUACAGGUUGAUCCGUUUUUACCGAGUAAAAUUUUAAUUAGAAAUUACAUUAAAAACAUAAUCUUUAGUUAAGAAAAUGUGGUCAUUUAUCCUGUAAAAUUUCAUUUGGUAAAAACAGAUCAAAUUUAACCAAAAUAUAUUCAAUCACAAUAAUAUACGGUAAAAACAAAACAAUUAUUUAUAAAAAAAUUUACAUUGCUUUUACUCGCGAUUAUCGACGAACA
rnacentral:lncRNA from 1 species